GGGGGCACAGCUCAGGGAUAGAGCACCUGCUUUGCAUGCAGAAGGUCCCAGGUUCAGUCCCUGGCAUCUCCA